AAGAGUGCGUAAUAGCUCACUGGUCGAGUGAUUGUGCGCCGAAAAUGUACCGGGGCUAAACUGUGUACCGAAGUCUAGGGAUCGUGAUAAACGAUCGGUAGGGGAGCAACGUGUGCGGGCUGAAGCCGAAGCGAAAGCGACGGUGGACUGCACGGGAGAGAGAAUGCCGGCAUGAGUAGCGAGAGCAAAGUGAGAAUCUUUGCCGUCGAAAGCCUAAGGUUUCCUGAGGAAGGCUCGUCCUCUCAGGGUAAGUCAGGACCUAAGCCGAGGACAAAAGUCGUAGGCGAUGGACAACUGGUUGAUAUUCCAGUACCACCUUUAGCGUUUGACUGAAGCAGUGACACAGAAGGAUAGACAGAGCGCGUGACUGGUAGAGCGCGUCCAAGCGAUGAGGGAGUUAAGUAGUGAAGCACGCUUAACAAUCCUGGGUCGUGAUGGGGACUGAAAAUAAGUAGGGAAGCUGUUGAAUUCACGCUGGCGAGAAAAGCUGCUAAGGAGCGAAAGGGUGCCUGUACCGCAAACCGACACAGGUAGGCGAGGAGAGAAUCCUAAGACGAGCGGGAGAACCCAUGUUAAGGAACUCGGCAAAAUGACCCUGUAACUUCGGGAUAAAGGGAGCCACGAGAGUGGCCGCAGAGAAUAGGCCCAAGCGACUGUUUACCAAAAACACAGGUCUGUGCGAAGUAGAGAUACGACGUAUACGGGCUGACGCCUGCCCAGUGCCGGAAGGUUAAGGGGAAGUGUUAGGGCAACCGAAGCACGGAACUUAAGCCCCGGUGAACGGCGGCCGUAACUAUAACGGUCCUAAGGUAGCGAAAUUCCUUGUCGGGUAAGUUCCGACCCGCACGAAUGGCGUAACGACUUGGGCACUGUCUCAACAUGGGACCCGGCGAAAUUGUAGUAUGUGUGAAGAUGCACAUUACCCGCGAUAGGACGGAAAGACCCCGUAGAGCUUUACUGUAGUUUAACAUUGGAUUUCGGUAACAUAUGUACAGGAUAGGUGGGAGGCGAAGAACCAGGGACGCCAGUUUCUGGGGAGCCGACCUUGGGAUACCACUCUUGUGUUAUUGGAGUUCUAACGAAUUGCCGUGAACCGGGAUUCGGACAGUGUUAGAUGGGCAGUUUGACUGGGGCGGUCGCCUCCUAAAGAGUAACGGAGGCGUCCAAAGGUUCCCUCAGAAUGGUUGGAAACCAUUCGCAGAGUGUAAAGGCAGAAGGGAGCUUGACUGCGAGACCGACAGGUCGAGCAGGUGCGAAAGCAGGGCUUAGUGAUCCGGCGGUAUGAGAGUGGAAUUGCCGUCGCUCAAC
rnacentral:rRNA from 1 species